CCAUGUCUAUUCUCCCACUCUCUCUCUACUUCCAUGUCUUCUCCUUUGCCGGACCUUUCUGCUGUAAAAUAAUAUAAAAAUUUGUCAGCUUUCUGCAAUUUUAUUCGGCUUGCCUGCAUUUUUGUCUUGAUUAUAUUCUCUGUCUCCAGUUUAAUAUUGCUCGUUGCAACUUUGGGUUAAGAUAUUUGGCCAAAGGAGAAUCCAUUGGUUUGCAGAAUGUUAAGAUUGUCAUCUCUUUAACAUACUUGAAGAAUCAUUUAGAAUGCUGCUUUGACAAGCUUUUUAAACUUUCAGAAUUUCUGUUAAAGAAUGCAAAGGUUUUGGAGAAGUCUCCGUUAUUUAGCCGGUAAUUACGGGUCGGCAACUGGAGGCAACGAUGACGGCGAGCAGAACUGAAUAUUGAUGCUGCUUCAACGAGAUAACAUUAGGGCUGUUCUUGAACAAAGACGACGUUGGGGGCUAAGUAACUUGAGUUUUCUGUUAAUAUAUUUCAAGUAUUUCAAUGUAUCUCGUAAUAUUUCGUGUUGAAUUGUUCCACAUAGGAGGGAUUUGAGGUCCUUGGUCUCCUUAUAUGGCUUGGGCAAUCCUCACCUCAUACACAUCGGAGGGAUUUGAGGUCCUUGGUCUCCUUAUAUGACUUGGCAAUCCUCACCUCAUAAGCUAGCUUUUAGGGUUGAGUUAGGCUCAAGGUCCAUUCUUAUCAUGUUAUCUAGAGCCAGGUCAUCCCAAUUAUUGUUACCGAUGUUGGGCCCCCAUUUAUGUUGUCCACGCUCCAAAGAUCUGAUUAAGCAGGACAACAUCGAGUUCUAAUCAUUCAAAUAAACUUUUUCUACGAUCCGUCCUAAUCAAAGGUUUAAUCCCUCUAAAGGUAUUGUUACAUUGAUGUUGAGUUGUCCCACAUCGGAGGGAUUUGAGGUCCUUGGUCUCCUUAUAUGGCUUGGGCGAUCCUCACCUCAUAAGCUAGCUUUUGGGGUUGAGUUAGGCCCAAUUUCCAUUCUUAUCAUUUUGUUGCAUUCAUUGUCUUUUGUUCAUUGUAUUUCAAUGUAUCUCGCUGUAUUCCAUGUAUUUCACUGUAUUCAUUGUCUUUUUUUUAAUUGUAUUUCAUUGUAUCCCGCUGUAUUCUAUAUAUUUCAUUGUAUUCACUGCCUCGCUAUAUCCUAUGAAUAUAUUCAUAUUUUUUUUAAUUAAUAUAAUUUAU
rnacentral:lncRNA from 1 species